CGGGGCGUAGCGCAGCUUGGUAGCGCGUCUCGCUGGGGGUGAGAAGGUCGCAGGUUCAAGUCCUGUCGCCCCGA
rnacentral:tRNA from 2 species